UUAAGCGACUAAGCGUACACGGUGGAUGCCCUGGCAGUCAGAGGCGAUGAAGGACGUGCUAAUCUGCGAUAAGCGUCGGUGAGGUGAUAUGAACCGUUAUAACCGGCGAUUUCCGAAUGGGGAAACCCAGUGUGAUUCGUCACACUAUCAUUAACUGAAUCCAUAGGUUAAUGAGGCGAACCGGGGGAACUGAAACAUCUAAGUACCCCGAGGAAAAGAAAUCAACCGAGAUUCCCCCAGUAGCGGCGAGCGAACGGGGAGGAGCCCAGAGCCUGAAUCAGUGUGUGUGUUAGUGGAAGCGUCUGGAAAGGCGUGCGAUACAGGGUGACAGCCCCGUACACAAAAAUGCACAUAUUGUGAGCUCGAUGAGUAGGGCGGGACACGUGGUAUCCUGUCUGAAUAUGGGGGGACCAUCCUCCAAGGCUAAAUACUCCUGACUGACCGAUAGUGAACCAGUACCGUGAGGGAAAGGCGAAAAGAACCCCGGCGAGGGGAGUGAAAAAGAACCUGAAACCGUGUACGUACAAGCAGUGGGAGCCUCUUAAUGGGGUGACUGCGUACCUUUUGUAUAAUGGGUCAGCGACUUAUAUUCUGUAGCAAGGUUAACCGAAUAGGGGAGCCGAAGGGAAACCGAGUCUUAACUGGGCGUUAAGUUGCAGGGUAUAGACCCGAAACCCGGUGAUCUAGCCAUGGGCAGGUUGAAGGUUGGGUAACACUAACUGGAGGACCGAACCGACUAAUGUUGAAAAAUUAGCGGAUGACUUGUGGCUGGGGGUGAAAGGCCAAUCAAACCGGGAGAUAGCUGGUUCUCCCCGAAAGCUAUUUAGGUAGCGCCUCGUGAAUUCAUCUCCGGGGGUAGAGCACUGUUUCGGCAAGGGGGUCAUCCCGACUUACCAACCCGAUGCAAACUGCGAAUACCGGAGAAUGUUAUCACGGGAGACACACGGCGGGUGCUAACGUCCGUCGUGAAGAGGGAAACAACCCAGACCGCCAGCUAAGGUCCCAAAGUCAUGGUUAAGUGGGAAACGAUGUGGGAAGGCCCAGACAGCCAGGAUGUUGGCUUAGAAGCAGCCAUCAUUUAAAGAAAGCGUAAUAGCUCACUGGUCGAGUCGGCCUGCGCGGAAGAUGUAACGGGGCUAAACCAUGCACCGAAGCUGCGGCAGCGACACUAUGUGUUGUUGGGUAGGGGAGCGUUCUGUAAGCCUGUGAAGGUGGCCUGUGAGGGUUGCUGGAGGUAUCAGAAGUGCGAAUGCUGACAUAAGUAACGAUAAAGCGGGUGAAAAGCCCGCUCGCCGGAAGACCAAGGGUUCCUGUCCAACGUUAAUCGGGGCAGGGUGAGUCGACCCCUAAGGCGAGGCCGAAAGGCGUAGUCGAUGGGAAACAGGUUAAUAUUCCUGUACUUGGUGUUACUGCGAAGGGGGGACGGAGAAGGCUAUGUUGGCCGGGCGACGGUUGUCCCGGUUUAAGCGUGUAGGCUGGUUUUCCAGGCAAAUCCGGAAAAUCAAGGCUGAGGCGUGAUGACGAGGCACUACGGUGCUGAAGCGACAAAUGCCCUGCUUCCAGGAAAAGCCUCUAAGCAUCAGGUAACAUCAAAUCGUACCCCAAACCGACACAGGUGGUCAGGUAGAGAAUACCAAGGCGCUUGAGAGAACUCGGGUGAAGGAACUAGGCAAAAUGGUGCCGUAACUUCGGGAGAAGGCACGCUGAUAUGUAGGUGAAGCGACUUGCUCGUGGAGCUGAAAUCAGUCGAAGAUACCAGCUGGCUGCAACUGUUUAUUAAAAACACAGCACUGUGCAAACACGAAAGUGGACGUAUACGGUGUGACGCCUGCCCGGUGCCGGAAGGUUAAUUGAUGGGGUUAGCGGUAACGCGAAGCUCUUGAUCGAAGCCCCGGUAAACGGCGGCCGUAACUAUAACGGUCCUAAGGUAGCGAAAUUCCUUGUCGGGUAAGUUCCGACCUGCACGAAUGGCGUAAUGAUGGCCAGGCUGUCUCCACCCGAGACUCAGUGAAAUUGAACUCGCUGUGAAGAUGCAGUGUACCCGCGGCAAGACGGAAAGACCCCGUGAACCUUUACUAUAGCUUGACACUGAACAUUGAGCCUUGAUGUGUAGGAUAGGUGGGAGGCUUUGAAGUGUGGACGCCAGUCUGCAUGGAGCCGACCUUGAAAUACCACCCUUUAAUGUUUGAUGUUCUAACGUGGGCCCCUUACCGGGGUUGCGGACAGUGUCUGGUGGGUAGUUUGACUGGGGCGGUCUCCUCCUAAAGAGUAACGGAGGAGCACGAAGGUUGGCUAAUCCUGGUCGGACAUCAGGAGGUUAGUGCAAUGGCAUAAGCCAGCUUGACUGCGAGCGUGACGGCGCGAGCAGGUGCGAAAGCAGGUCAUAGUGAUCCGGUGGUUCUGAAUGGAAGGGCCAUCGCUCAACGGAUAAAAGGUACUCCGGGGAUAACAGGCUGAUACCGCCCAAGAGUUCAUAUCGACGGCGGUGUUUGGCACCUCGAUGUCGGCUCAUCACAUCCUGGGGCUGAAGUAGGUCCCAAGGGUAUGGCUGUUCGCCAUUUAAAGUGGUACGCGAGCUGGGUUUAGAACGUCGUGAGACAGUUCGGUCCCUAUCUGCCGUGGGCGCUGGAGAACUGAGGGGGGCUGCUCCUAGUACGAGAGGACCGGAGUGGACGCAUCACUGGUGUUCGGGUUGUCAUGCCAAUGGCACUGCCCGGUAGCUAAAUGCGGAAGAGAUAAGUGCUGAAAGCAUCUAAGCACGAAACUUGCCCCGAGAUGAGUUCUCCCUGAC
rnacentral:rRNA from 1 species